UAUGAAAUUUUCGAGUUAAAAUUUUUUUAAAAAAUUUUUUCUGAUUUUUUAUACUUUUUUUAAUUUAAAGCACUAUUUAAGUGAAAAGAAACUUAUUGCAACAAAUUCCCAUUAAAAUAUAUCACAUUUAAAAAUUUUGCUACAUUGCUCCAAAAUGAAGAAAAUUUUACAUUUUCUCAAACAGGGUAAGGAACGUGGUUCCUUGAAUAACUUCUGGCACAGCGGUCUGAGGGCAUGGCCGUCCAAGAAGAAAAUGUAGCCAUUGGUGCCAUCUAUCGACCACAGGUUAAAGAUUGGCGAUCCGUUGGAUACCGACCGAGUUAUAGGCAAAAGUUGGCGCAAAACUGAGCCUUAGUAAAUUUUCAUUUUUUUGAAUUUUUUGAUUUUUUUAUAAUUUUUCACUAUUUUUUUUUGUUUAAAACAUUAUUUGAUUGAAAAGAAACUUAUUGCAACCAAUUGGCAUUAAAAUAAAACAAUUUAAAUUUUUUUGCAAAAUUUCCCAAAAAAAUCGUAAGGGGUAAGCCUUAUGAAAUUUUCGAGCUGAAAUUUUUUUAAAAUUUUUUUUCUGAUUUUUUAUUCUUUUUUUAAUUUAAAGCACUAUUUAAGUGAAAAGAAACUUAUUGCAACAAAUUCCCAUUAAAAUAUAUCACAUUUAAAAAUUUUGCUACAUUGCUCCAAAAUGAAGAAAAUUUUACAUUUUCUCAAACAGGGUAAGGAACUUGGUUCCUCGAAUAACUUCUGGCACAGCGGUCUGAGGGCAUGGCCGUCCAAGAAGAAAAUGUAGCCAUUGGUGCCAUCUAUCGACCACAGGUUAAAGAUUGACGAUCCGUUGGAUACCGACCGAGUAAUAGGCAAAAGUUGAUACAAAAAUGAGGAAAAUUUUACAUUUUCUCAAACAGGGUAAGGAACGUGGUUCCUCGAAUAACUUCUGGCACAGAGCUCUGAGGGCAUGGCCGUCCAAGAAGAAAAUGUAGCCAUUGGUGCCAUCUAUCGACCACAGGUUAAAGAUUGACGAUCCGUUGGAUACCGACCGAGUAAUAGGCAAAAGUUGAUACAAAAAUGAAGAAAAUUUUACAUUUUCUCAAACAGGGUAAGGAACUUGGUUCCUCGAAUAACUUCUGGCACAGAGCUCUGAGGGCAUGGCCGUCCAAGAAGAAAAUGUAGCCAUUGGUGCCAUCUAUCGACCACAGGUUAAAGAUUGGCGAUCCGUUGGAUACCGACCGAGUUAUAGGCAAAAGUUGGCGCAAAAAUGAGCCUUAGUAAAUUUUCAUUUGUUUGAAUUUUUUGAUUUUUUUAUAAUUUUUGACUAUUUUUUUUGUUUAAAACAUUAUUUGAUUGAAAAGAAACUUAUUGCAACCAAUUGGCAUUAAAAUAAAACAAUUUAAAUUUUUUUGCAAAAUUUCCCAAAAAAAUCGUAAGGGGUAAGCCUUAUGAAAUUUUCGAGCUGAAAUUUUUUUAAAAAUUUUUUUCUGAUUUUUUAUUCUUUUUUUAAUUUAAAGCACUAUUUAAGUGAAAAGAAACUUAUUGCAACAAAUUCCCAUUAAAAUAUAUCACAUUUAAAAAAUUUGCUACAUUGCUCCAAAAUGAGGAAAAUUUUACAUUUUCUCAAACAGGGUAAGGAACUUGGUUCCUCGAAUAACUUCUGGCACAGCGGUCUGAGGGCAUGGCCGUCCAAGAAGAAAAUGUAGCCAUUGGUGCCAUCUAUCGACCACAGGUUAAAGAUUGACGAUCCGUUGGAUACCGACCGAGUAAUAGGCAAAAGUUGAUACAAAAAUGAAGAAAAUUUUACAUUUUCCCAAACAGGGUAAGGAACUUGGUUCCUCGAAUAACUUCUGGCACAGAGGACUGAGGGCAUGGCCGUCCAAGAAGAAAAUGUAGCCAUUGGUGCCAUCUAUCGAUCACAGGUUAAAGAUUGACGAUCCGUUGGAUACCGACCGAGUAAUAGGCAAAAGUUGAUACAAAAAUGAAGAAAAUUUUACAUUUUCCCAAACAGGGUAAGGAACUUGGUUCCUCGAAUAACUUCUGGCACAGAGGUCUGAGGGCAUGGCCGUCCAAGAAGAAAAUGUAGCCAUUGGUGCCAUCUAUCGACCACAGGUUAAAGAUUGGCGAUCCGUUGGAUACCGACCGAGUUAUAGGCAAAAGUUGGCGCAAAACUGAGCCUUAGUAAAUUUUCAUUUUUUUGAAUUUUUUGAUUUUUUUAUAAUUUUUUACUAUU